GAAGCUGACCAGACAGUCGCCGCUUCGUCGUCGUCCUUUUCGGGGGAGACGGGCGGAGGGGAGGAAAGUCCGGGCUCCAUAGGGCAGGGUGCCAGGUAACGCCUGGGGGGGAAACCCACGACCAGUGCAACAGAGAGCAAACCGCCGAUGGCCCGCGCAAGCGGGAUCAGGUAAGGGUGAAAGGGUGCGGUAAGAGCGCACCGCCGUACUGAACCCGGGUAGGCUGCUUGAGCCAGUGAGCGAUUGCUGGCCUAGAUGAAUGACUGUCCACGACAGAACCCGGCUUAUCGGUCAGUUUCACCU
rnacentral:RNase_P_RNA from 1 species